AACAAGAUCACCACAGACAGCAAGUAGCUCUUGCCAGCUCCAAAAACACCUGGUAUUUUGGAAGAAAAAGCCCAAGUUACAAAAAGAAACCUUUACUCUUUAAAUACAGAGAAAACAUGUUAAAUCCUGCUGAACUCCUGAGCUACUGGAAUAUUUAUAAACCCUGAAUUCAUACAGCACUUGAGAGGAGUGCACAGCAUUCCAGGAUACCUCACCAAAAGCUGACAUUCCUCAUAGACAGCAAUCUUUUGACUCCUGAGUGCAUCUGAUCAAAGGAGCAGAAAAAAACAAGUCACACAUUAUGAAGUUCUGUGACAAAGGUUGUUCAGCUGAAUCUGGAAGCCUUUGAGCAUUCCAGUCCUUUUCAUCAUUUACAGUUCCCUGUAUAAAAGG